rnacentral:rRNA from 1 species
UACGGGGGGGGCAAGCGUUGUUCGGAAUUACUGGGCGUAAAGGGCUCGUAGGCGGCCAACUAAGUCAGACGUGAAAUCCCCAGGCUCAACCUGGGAACUGCGUCUGAUACUGGAUGGCUUGAAUCCGGGAGAGGGAUGCAGAAUUCCAGGUGUAGCGGUGAAAUGCGUAGAUAUCGGGAGGAACACCAGUGGCGAAGGCGGCACUCUGGGCCGGUACUGACGCUGAGGAGCGAAAGCGUGGGGAGCGAACAGG